rnacentral:rRNA from 1 species
UAGGGAAUCUUCCGCAAUGGACGCAAGUCUGACGGAGCAACGCCGCGUGAGUGAAGAAGGAUUUCGGUUCGUAAAACUCUGUUGUUAGAGAAGAACAGCGCAUAGAGUAACUGUUAUGCGUGUGACGGUAUCUAACCAGAAAGCCACGGCUAACUACGUGCCAGCAGCCGCGGUAAUACGUAGGUCCCGAGCGUUGUCCGGAUUUAUUGGGCGUAAAGCGAGCGCAGGCGGUUAGAUAAGUCUGAAGUUAAAGGCAGUGGCUCAACCAUUGUAGGCUUUGGAAACUGUUUAACUUGAGUGCAGAAGGGGAGAGUGGAAUUCCAUGUGUAGCGGUGAAAUGCGCAGAGAUAUGGAGGAACACCAGUGGCGAAGGCGACUUUCUGGUCUGUAACUGACGCUGAUGUGCGAAAGCGUGGGGAUCAAACAGG